UACGUAGGGGGCAAGCGUUGUCCGGAAUCAUUGGGCGUAAAGAGCGUGUAGGCGGCCAGAAAAGUCCGCUGUGAAAACUCGAGGCUCAACUUCGAGCUGUCGGUGGAAACUUUCUGGCUAGAGUCCGGAAGAGGAGAAUGGAAUUCCUGGUGGUAGCGGUGAAAUGACGCAGAUAUCAGGAAGAACACCCGUGGCGAAGGCGGUUCUCUGGGACGGUACUGACGCUGGAGACGCGAAAGCGUGGGGAGCGAACAGG
rnacentral:rRNA from 1 species